rnacentral:rRNA from 1 species
UACGGGGGGGGCAAGCGUUGUUCGGAAUUACUGGGCGUAAAGCGUGCGCAGGCGGUUUUGUAAGCCAGAUGUGAAAUCCCCGGGCUUAACCUGGGAAUGGCAUUUGGGACUGCAAGGCUUGAGUGCGGCAGAGGAGACUAGAAUUCCUGGUGUAGCAGUGAAAUGCGUAGAUAUCAGGAGGAAUACCGAUGGCGAAGGCAGGUCUCUGGGCUGACACUGACGCUCAUGCACGAAAGCGUGGGGAGCAAACAGG